rnacentral:rRNA from 1 species
GACGAACGCUGGCGGCGUGCUUAACACAUGCAAGUCGAACGGAAAGGCCCUGCUUUUGUGGGGUGCUCGAGUGGCGAACGGGUGAGUAACACGUGAGUAACCUGCCCUUGACUUUGGGAUAACUUCAGGAAACUGGGGCUAAUACCGGAUAGGAGCUCCUGCUGCAUGGUGGGGGUUGGAAAGUUUCGGCGGUUGGGGAUGGACUCGCGGCGUAUCAGCUUGUUGGUGGGGUAGUGGCUUACCAAGGCUUUGACGGGUAGCCGGCCUGAGAGGGUGACCGGCCACACUGGGACUGAGAUACGGCCCAGACUCCUACGGGAGGCAGCAGUGGGGAAUAUUGCACAAUGGGCGGAAGCCUGAUGCAGCAACGCCGCGUGCGGGAUGACGGCCUUCGGGUUGUAAACCGCUUUCGCCUGUGACGAAGCGUGAGUGACGGUAACGGGUAAAGAAGCACCGGCUAACUACGUG